rnacentral:rRNA from 1 species
AUUGAACGCUGGCGGCAUGCCUUACACAUGCAAGUCGAACGGUAACAGGUCUUCGGCUGCUGCCGAGUGGCGAACGGGUGCGUAAUACAUCGGAACGUGCCCGAUCGUGGGGGUUAACGAGGCGAAAGCUUUGCUAAUACCGCAUACGAUCUACGGAUGACAGCGGGGGAUCUCCGGACCUCGCGCGGACGGAGCGGCCGAUGGCAGAUUAGGUAGUUGGUGGGAUAAAAGCUUACCAAGCCGACGAUCUGUAGCUGGUCUGAGAGGAUGAUCAGCCACACUGGAACUGAGACACGGCCCAGACUCCUACGGGAGGCAGCAGUGGGGAAUUUUGGACAAUGGGCGAAAGCCUGAUCCAGCCAUGCCGCGUGCAGGAUGAAGGCCUUCGGGUUGUAAACUGCUUUUGUACGGAACGAAAAGCCUCUUGCUAAUAAAGAGGGGUCAUGACGGUACCGUAAGAAUAAGCACCGGCUAACUACGUG